rnacentral:lncRNA from 1 species
CACACACACACACACACACACACACACACACACACACACAUACACGCACACAUACACACACACACAAUGUUUGUGUCUGUUGUGGAUCGUAGUAAUGAAAAACAAGUCAAUCAGUAAUACGCAAAAUUUUUAUAAGCAACACAAUUUAGAAAAGCAAGGUGAGAUACUCUCCUGAUAAGAAGAUUUUCUUGCUUUUUAUAAUAAUAUAUGGUAAGAAGAGUCCAUUGUUUGAUUAUUCUCAAUUAUUAUUAUGUUUUUGUUUUUGGUAAACUUUUUGAUUUUCAGUGCAAUAAUAAUCAGUAAUGUUCAAUCCUAAACUUUGAUGGUUCAAAUUCAUACGACUCCGAACCUCUUAACAAUGUCAUUUAAUGUCUUAUUAAACAAUUUCUUGCCUUGGUUGUGGUCUGUAAAAUAUGUUUGGUUCCACGAUUUUUGGAAAAUUGCAUAAUGGGUUCUGAGACAAAGUAAGUGUAGGAGAGACUAGAUUAAACCAUUAUUUCAGUGGUCAAGAACUAAAUCAUCCCAAUUGAACAGGAGAUUGAAGUUGUGUUUGUGGGAGUGGUGGUAGGUGGGUGUCUGGAACUGGGAUUAAACAACAAUGAACAUUGACUUCUUUGACUUUCUAGAUAGAGCAUUCAAAUUACCCUCAAAAUACACAUUGGACAAUUUAACUUAAGAUAUACUUGUACCUAAAAACAAAAGAGCCUGUCAUGAAUUGAGCGAUUUUGAUUAUCUGUCUGCCGAAUCAUGGUUCACCAGGGACUAAACAACAACAACCAGAUAAUUUUUUAAUGCGACGUCUAGAGAAAAUGCUAGGAUAUUACAGAAAUUUCAAUUUAUAGAUUAAAAUCACCGGAAAAAUUCAAUUUUAUAAAUUUGGUUUAAUAUGUCAAAUUAAUAAUAGGCUACUAUAAUAGAUUAAAUAGGCUACAAUAGGCUAAUUAAUAUUUGAGUGAAAAUGUUAGAAAAUAUUUCAUUUAAUUUCUUUCUUUCAAAAUUUUCCUCUUAUAAGAAUUACAAAAUGCUUAAUUUGGAAAUAUUUAGUAAAAUUAAAAAACGUUUUGGAUAAAGAUGCCUGAUAGAAAAUGUCGCGUUAAAAACAUUUGAUUGUAAAUUUUUGAUUUAGAACAUCCGAUAGAAUAUAUUCGAUAGUAAAUUAUUGACAGUAAAUGUUUGCUCGAAAAUAUUGAGCUUAAAAUAGCAAAAGCAUUUAAUAAAAAUUAUCUGAUUAAAAAAUGUUAGACGGAAAGUGUGAGAUUGAAUUUUUUUUUUUUUUUAACGAAGAUAUUUAGACGGAAAUGUAAGAGAAAAAAUUAUUGAAUAUAAUACUAACUACAACUUUGGCUAAUGAUGCCAACAAAUGAUGUACAGUCUCAAGUUGACUAAAUUCGGUAACUAUCGUUAACAUUUUUCCAGUGUUGGAUAGGAGUUGUUUCACAAAUAGAAAGCCCAGGUCUGCUACUACAGCUGUCAGUCAGCUGGGGAAAGAUGGUAUGACAAACAAUUAAAUCAGAAAACCUAUGAACGCUUAAAACAUGUCAUUUGUGUUACUGAUUCAAGACAUGACAUACUUCCUGUCUUCUUAUAAAAGAAGACAUGUCAUAGAAAUGUUUAUUUUACAUCCAGUUAAUAGAUCGUCUCACCUACUACCAUUGUUACAGCCGCAUUAGGCCAAGUUGUUCUUCUUUAUCGAGACCCGGUCUCGACUAAGAAUUACUUUUAUAUAUGUCCUUGGAAAAAAAUCAUGAAUGUCACAUUCCUUUCUCCCUUUGAAUUCGAGAUUACAUAUCUCUAUAUAAGAAAUUACAACUACAAACACAAUUACUACGACUGUUACCUCCACACCACCACCACCACCACAA